GCGGGAGUGACGGAGUUGGUAUACGUGUCGGCUUUAGAUGCCGAAUUUUGAGGGUUCGAGUCCCUCCUCCCGUACCA
rnacentral:tRNA from 2 species